GGGAGGGCGAAGGAAGCAGAGAACAGGGGAGUCGGCCUCUGCAUCCUCAAUAACAAGACAAUAACAAGAUCAGAUACUCCCACUCACCAGUUCAAAUCAGCCUUCUCAUCUGCGGAAACCACAGAAUUGAGUGGCAAAUGUGUGGUGGCUUUGGCAACAGAUCCCAAUAUCCUGAGCCUGAGUGGUAAGGUGCUGCCAUCCUGUGACCUUGCUCGACGCUAUGGCCUUCGGGAUGUGGACG
rnacentral:lncRNA from 1 species